rnacentral:rRNA from 1 species
UGGUGGGUAGUUUGACUGGGGCGGUCUCCUCCCAAAGCGUAACGGAGGAGCACGAAGGUUAGCUAAUCCUGGUCGGACAUCAGGAGGUUAGUGCAAUGGCAUAAGCUAGCUUGACUGCGAGCGUGACGGCGCGAGCAGGUGCGAAAGCAGGUCAUAGUGAUCCGGUGGUUCUGAAUGGAAGGGCCAUCGCUCAACGGAUAAAAGGUACUCCGGGGAUAACAGGCUGAUACCGCCCAAGAGUUCAUAUCGACGGCGGUGUUUGGCACCUCGAUGUCGGCUCAUCACAUCCUGGGGCUGAAGUAGGUCCCAAGGGUAUGGCUGUUCGCCAUUUAAAGUGGUACGCGAGCUGGGUUUAGAACGUCGUGAGACAGUUCGGUCCCUAUCUGCCGUGGGCGCUGGAGAAUUGAGGGGGGCUGCUCCUAGUACGAGAGGACCGGAGUGGACGCAUCACUGGUGUUCGGGUUGUCAUGCCAAUGGCACUGCCCGGUAGCUAAAUGCGGAAGAGAUAAGUGCUGAAAGCAUCUAAGCACGAAACUUGCCCCGAGAUGAGUUCUCCCUGAGACUUUAAGUCUCCUGAAGGAACGUUAAAGACG